rfam:Gossypium raimondii Chr12_contig_832, whole genome shotgun sequence.
UCUUAAAAAAUUCAUCCAUUUUCUAUUAUUAAAACUAGCAUAGCUAACAAAUAAUUAAACAGUGGCACAUGGUGUGCCCGAUGUACCUCAUGUUGACAUAUAGAAAUAAGUUUUAAAUAAUAGAAAUUGAUGAAAUUUUAACA